rnacentral:rRNA from 1 species
CAGUCGCCACGGGAAUACAGAGGGUGCGAGCGUUAAUCGGAUUUACUGGGCGUAAAGCGUGCGUAGGCGGCUUCUUAAGUCGGAUGUGAAAUCCCUGAGCUUAACUUAGGAAUUGCAUUCGAUACUGGGAAGCUAGAGUAUGGGAGAGGAUGGUAGAAUUCCAGGUGUAGCGGUGAAAUGCGUAGAGAUCUGGAGGAAUACCGAUGGCGAAGGCAGCCAUCUGGCCUAAUACUGACGCUGAGGUACGAAAGCAUGGGGAGCAAACAGGAUUAGAGACCCGGGUAGUCCCUGUCUCUUAUAC